AGACGGAGGGUGCAAGCGUUAAUCGGAAUUACUGGGCGUAAAGCGCUCGUAGGCGGCUUGUUAAGUCGGAUGUGAAAGCCCCGGGCUCAACCUGGGAACUGCAUUCGAUACUGGCAGGCUAGAGUAUAGUAGAGGCAAGUGGAAUUCCGGGUGUAGCGGUGAAAUGCGUAGAUAUCCGGAGGAACAUCAGUGGCGAAGGCGACUUGCUGGACUAAUACUGACGCUGAGGAGCGAAAGCGUGGGGAGCAAACGGGAUUAGAAACCCCUGUAGUCC
rnacentral:rRNA from 1 species